AUGAUAUGUUACAGAAAUUAACAAUUUCCAGGCCAUCACCGCUCAUGUCAUAUGGAACCACUUUACAUGUAAAUGUCUUCUGAAUAAAGCAUUGAAAUUCGAAGACAGCCACAAGCACAACAUUAUAGCCUGCCUAUCAAAAUUAUCACAAGCCCAAAAGUGAAACAAGGAAAGAAGUACAACUCAAGAAAUUGAGAAGCUGUAAGCAGAUUGCCUCAUAAAAGUAGCCAAAAAAAAAAAAA